GACGAACGCUGGCGGCGUGCUUAACACAUGCCAGUCGAACGGAAAGGCCCUGCUUUUGUGGGGUGCUCGAGUGGCGAACGGGUGAGUAACACGUGAGUAACCUGCCCUUGACUUUGGGAUAACUUCAGGAAACUGGGGCUAAUACCGGAUAGGAGCUCCUGCUGCAUGGUGGGGGUUGGAAAGUUUCGGCGGUUGGGGAUGGACUCGCGGCUUAUCAGCUUGUUGGUGGGGUAGUGGCUUACCAAGGCAUUGACGGGUAGCCGGCCUGGGAGGGUGACCGGCCACAUUGGGACUGAGAUACGGCCCAGACUCCUACGGGAGGCAGCAGUGGGGAAUAUUGCACAAUGGGCGGAAGCCUGAUGCAGCAACGCCGCGUGCGGGAUGACGGCCUUCGGGUUGUAAACCGCUUUCGCCUGUGACGAAGCGUGAGUGACGGUAAUGGGUAAAGAAGCACCGGCUAACUACGUG
rnacentral:rRNA from 1 species